rnacentral:lncRNA from 1 species
AUAUGCCACAGCCUCACAUAAGGAAGAGGAAAAUGGCAGUGUGGGCCAUGAUUGGCAGGUCUGGAUCCAUAGACUGUGAUUUCCAGGAUCACCCAACAGGAAUGAAGACAUUUGGAGAAGAAGCGUUUACUGAAAGGAGAUUCCUGGGCUGGAGGAAAACCAUGAUCUACAGUUCAUGUUGACAGAUAUUGUAUUUUUGGUCCUAGAUCUGACUUUUGAAAUGACUUAUCACAAAUUCAAAUUUAGCAAUCAUGAGUGAAGUACCCACGAUGUGCUAAGCAUCUACCUCUGCAGAUAGAAGAACACUUACUGUUCCUGAGCAUGGGAGGGAAUAGAAGUUCCUGGGUCCUGGCCUCACCUCAUCAGACGAGGGAACUGAGCUGUCAAAACUAAGUGACUUGAUUGAGGCCAUGCAGCUGGCGAGGGGAGGACCAGGAUCUGAACCCAACUGGGUCUCCCAAGCCUGGGCCACUGAACCAUUUCACCUCUUGGAAAAACUUAAUGGUCAGAGUGGCCCACCCAGUCCAUGGACAGCAUGGAGGAUAAACUGCUUCCCUAGAAAUCCUCUCCAGCAUUCUUGCCACCACGACUUUGGGACACAUUGACCAUGAGGAGGAGCUGGUCAAUGAUGGACAGGAGUCCAGAUUAGCAGAGAUGUGGUAAUAAGGACACCGAUGCCUAAAUACUUGAAAUAUCCAAUAGGAAGCAUUCCACCUUUGUGCAAAUGCGAACCACAUCUCACCAAGUUCAGGCCAAGGCUGCCACCGGUGACGUUUUGGAAAAGAAAAAAAAAAGCGGGGGGAGAGGAGAGAAACAGAGAAGCAAGGAAUGCAGAAGAGAGCAGAGGCCACAAAAACAGCAGCAACGUGUCCUGUGUAUUCUGUUUCCUUGUAAAACUAUGAAGCAUGUUAAGGAGAUACUUCAUUUUUUGAGGAUUCAUACUCUUGUUUAUAUUAUAAUAAAAACAACCCAUGUUCUUUCUAAAAAUUUAGGCAAUGCCUUCGUGCACAUAAAAGUAAAACAAAAUCACCUGUAAUCCUACCACACGCAGAUCAGCACUUGCUAAUCUUUUCACAGGGAUCCUAAGAAUAUCCUAUUCUCUAUAGAAUAUAGUUGAUUUAUGUUACCUAAUAACUAACUGUUAACCAUUUUAAAAUUCUUCAGUUUUACAUUAUGCUAGAAAAAAGGAGCCGUCACUCUACGUGACAUUUCUGUAUAUUGGUUUAUUCAUUCAAUAAACAUUUUUUAAGUACCU